CCUAGUGGGAGUGGAGGGAAAGUGGUCACAGGCAGGGCUAGGCUAGUGGGAGGGGAGAGAAAGUGGUCACAGGCAGAGCUAGGCUAGUGGGAAGGAAGGGAAAGUGGUCACAGGCAGAGCUAGGCUAGUGGGAGGGAAAGGAAAGUGGUCACAGGCAGAGCUAGGCUAGUGGGAGGGAAGGGAAGGGUGGUGACAGGCAGGGCUAAUAGGAUUGAAGGGAAAGUGGCCAUAGGCAGGGCUAGUUGGAGGGGAGGGAAAGUAGUCACAGGCAGAGCUAGUGAGAGGGGAGGGAGAGCCGUCAUAGGCAGGGCUAGUGGGAGGGGAGGGAAAGUGGUCACAGGCAGGGCUAGUGGGAGGGAAGGGAAGGGUGGUGACAGGCAGGGUUAGUGGGAGGGAAGGGAAGGGUGGUGACAGGCAGGGCUAGUGGGAGGGGAAGUGGUCACAGGCAGGGCUAGGCUAGUGGGAGGGAAAGUGGUCACAGGCAGGGCUAGGCUAGUGGGAGGAGGGAAAGUGUGGUCACAGGCAGGGCUAAUGGGAGUGAAGGGAAAGUGGUCACAGGCAGGGCUAGUGGGAGGAAGGUGGUCACAGGCAGGGUUAGGCUAGUGGGAGGGAAGGUAAAUGGUCACAUGCAGGGCUAGUGGGAGUGGGAGGGAAAGUGGUCACAGGCAGGGCUAGGCUAGUGGGAGCGGAGGGAAAGUGGUCAC
ensembl:lncRNA